rnacentral:rRNA from 1 species
UACGAAGGGGGCGAGCGUUGUUCGGAUUUACUGGGCGUAAAGGGCGCGUAGGCGGCCCUCCUUGUCGCGUGUGAAAGCCCCGGGCUCAACCUGGGAACUGCAUCCGAUACUGGAUGGCUUGAAUUCGGGAGAGGGAUGCAGAAUUCCAGGUGUAGCGGUGAAAUGCGUAGAUAUCUGGAGGAAUACCGGUGGCGAAGGCGGCAUCCUGGACCGACAUUGACGCUGAGGAGCGAAAGCCAGGGGAGCAAACGGG